AGUCCAUGGUAUGGACAAAGUCUCAUCAUGUCCUUGUAUCUCUCCCAAGCAUCGAAAAGAGAUUCAUUUUCUUUCUGUCUAAAUACGUUGAUUUGGGCUCUUAGCAU